GGCCCGGUGGCGAAAUAGGCAGACGCACAGGACUUAAAAUCCUGGGUCUCGAAAGGGACGUGCGGGUUCGAUUCCCGCCCGGGCCA
rnacentral:tRNA from 3 species